GUAGGUGGCAAGCGUUGUCCGGAAUUAUUGGGCGUAAAGCGCGCGCAGGCGGUUCUUUAAGUCUGAUGUGAAAGCCCACGGCUCAACCGUGGAGGGUCAUUGGAAACUGGAGAACUUGAGUACAGAAGAGGAAAGCGGAAUUCCACGUGUAGCGGUGAAAUGCGUAGAGAUGUGGAGGAACACCAGUGGCGAAGGCGGCUUUCUGGUCUGUAACUGACGCUGAGGCGCGAAAGCGUGGGGAGCAAACAGGAUUAGAUACCCUGGUAGUCCACGCCGUAAACGAUGAGUGCUAAGUGUUAGGGGGUUUCCGCCCCCCUUAGUGCUGCAGCUAACGCAUUAAGCACUCCGCCUGGGAGUACGACCGCAAGGUUGA
rnacentral:rRNA from 1 species